GACGAACGCUGGCGGCGUGCUUAACACAUGCAAGUCGAACGGAAAGGCCCUGCUUUUGCGGGGUGCUCGAGUGGCGAACGGGUGAGUAACACGUGAGUAACCUGCCCUUGACUUUGGGAUAACUUCAGGAAACUGGGGCUCAUAUCGGGUAGGAGCUCCUGCUGCAUGUGGGGGGUUGGAAAGUUUCGGCGGUUGGGGAUGGACUCGCGGGUUAUCCGCUUGUUGGGGUGGUAGGGGCUGACGAAGGCUUUGACGGGUAGCCGGCCUGAGAGGGUUACCGGCGACAUUGGGACUGAGAUAGGGCCCAGACUCCUACGGGAGGCAGCAGGGGGGAAUAUUGCACAAUGGGCGGAAGCGUGAGGCAGCAACGCCGCGUGCGGGAUGACGGCCUUCGGGUUGUAAACCGAUUUCGCCUGUGACGAAGCGUGAGUGACGGUAAUGGGUAAAGAAGCACCGGCUAACUACGUG
rnacentral:rRNA from 1 species